CUAGGCCAAAGAAGGAAUUAGAUCCCACAGGGAAGAGCACCAAGAAUAUUGUGUAUAAAGAUGUCCUCAACUGCUGACAAUUGUGCAGAUUACGAUGUCCAUACCAAGAUCAGCUGGGAAUGCUGAAAGAUGUGCUUACAUUAUUGCACUCUGAAAGUUAUGCAUACAUGUCUCAUGGUACAAUUAUAUAGGUAUACAUAUUAAUCUCAUGCUUUGUAACCUCUAUGAUUGAUAUAAUAAUUUUCACUUAUUUUUUACUGUUCAUCGAAUAACCUGCAGCUACUUAAUAACUAGUAUUGCUAUGUAUGAGAUACACUCGGAUAUCUAGCAGUACAUUGCGACAAUGAGCAUUUUUCGGUAGGGAAAUGUCAGAAUAAUUUCUUGCAGGGACUGAUAUCAUGUGCUUGCUCGCUAGCAACAGAUUUAACUCUGAAAAAAAUCCCCUCAAAUUGUCUAAGGAGGAGCAGGAGCCGGCUUUGAGGGCAGUUCUUAUGAUGCUUCUCUCUCCUAGCCAAUUCAUUUUCUCUGAGGCAAGUUCUAAAUUUCUGGAAGCUGUUCUACCAUUAGGCAAUGAAUAUAUGAACAUGUUCAUGUCAUCACUAGAAUCGAAUGUUACCAGAAAUCUUACGACAUCUUUUGACUGUGUCAAGAUCAUGACCAACCUCAUGAACAUAGCAUGCUUGUUGGUAGUACAAUCUAAUUAUAGUCUCAACAAAAGGAGUGCUGUAGAUGUAUUAUCCAACAUUAUCAAGGAAUGUCUGCACGAUCAUUUGUACAUUACGAGAUCAAACUUUGCUUCACAUCUGCAAUUUUGUUUUGAUGGAAGUUCAUGCUGCUAUCUCUCUGAAGAGUGGGAGGGUGAAAAUAUUGUUUUAUUUUAUGGUCUCGUAGUAUUGUUUAAUCUGCUGAAGAGUGACAACUUUAUUUGUUUCCACUGUAAAAGAAAGUUAGAUGCGGGGAUUGUGUGCCAUGAAUGUAGAGAUCAUUACAACGAAGGUUUGGUUGGAGUCCUUAAACAAGCCUUGUGUCAGAACAAGAGCCCAGGGCCCAAGUCUUAUAUUGCACAUAUACUGAGUAUGUUUGGCCUCUGUGGUUUUCCAAGCAAGCUAGGAGGAAAUAUGAGAAAUGUUUUGUGUGACAGUGAGUUAGUUGAUCUGGAACUGUUGCUUGCAGAUGGUGAAUCUCUAAGUGCUCAUGCGGCUAUCCUAUCAGCAAGAUGUCCUAAAUUAUUACCAUCUGAAAAAACUUUUGUCCGUGCUACAAGAUGCAAUAUGCUCUGCUUGUUCUAAGUCCACACAAUUAAGAAUGAGGUUAUGUUGAUUAUUUAAUUAGCGUUAUCAAAUUAGGCCGUGGAGACUCAUGCAAGAU